rnacentral:rRNA from 1 species
GCAUACGGUGGAUGCCUUGGCAGUCAGAGGCGAUGAAGGACGUUGGAGCUUGCGAAAAGUCUCGGGGAGGUAGCAACCGACCUUUGAUCCGGGAAUGUCCGAAUGGGGAAACCCACCCAAUGUAAGUUGGGUAUCUCUUACUGAAUACAUAGGUAAGGGAGGCGAACGCGGGGAACUGAAACAUCUAAGUACCCGCAGGAAAAGAAAUCAACUGAGAUUCCCCCAGUAGCGGCGAGCGACCGGGGAAGAGCCUGCACGUAAUAGCUUUUGGGUUAGUGGAACGGUCUGGAAAGUCCGGCGAUAGAGGGUGAUAGCCCCGUACACGAAAACCUGGGAGUGGUACUGAGCGUGCGAUAAGUAGGUCGGGACACGUGAUAUCUUGACUGAAGACGGGGGGACCAUCCUCCAAGGCUAAAUACUCCUGACUGACCGAUAGUGAACCAGUACCGUGAGGGAAAGGCGAAAAGAACCCCGGAGAGGGGAGUGAAAUAGAACCUGAAACCGUGUGCGUACAAGCAGUGGGAGCCCUUCGGGGUGACUGCGUACCUUUUGUAUAAUGGGUCAGCGAGUUAAUUUUGCGAGCAAGCUUAAGCCGUUAGGUGUAGGCGUAGCGAAAGCGAGUCUUAAUAGGGCGACUAAGUUUGUUGGAUUAGACCCGAAACCGAGUGAUCUAGGUAUGAGCAGGUUGAAGGUGCAGUAACAUGCACUGGAGGACCGAACCCACGCCUGUUGAAAAAGGCGGGGAUGACUUGUGCCUAGGGGUGAAAGGCCAAUCAAACUCGGAAAUAGCUGGUUCUCCGCGAAAUCUAUUUAGGUAGAGCG